UACGAGGGGGGCGAGCGUUGUUCGGAAUUACUGGGCGUAAAGCGUGCGUAGGUGGUUUGUUAAGUCUGUUGUGAAAGCCCCGGGCUCAACCUGGGAAUGGCAAUGGAUACUGGCAGGCUAGAGUGCGGUAGAGGGUAGUGGAAUUCCCGGUGUAGCGGUGAAAUGCGUAGAGAUCGGGAGGAACACCAGUGGCGAAGGCGGCUACCUGGACCAGCACUGACACUGAGGCACGAAGCGUGGGGAUCAAACAGG
rnacentral:rRNA from 1 species